GAUUUUGUUCUCGGUGAUUGGGCAUAGUGAUUUUGAUGCAUCGCCUUAUCUCAUUCUCACAGAGGAUAUCAAUGGGGUGAAUGCCGGUACUCAACCUAUUGAUGCACAUGGACAUGAUAACUCUCUAGCGUUUAUGGACCAACCAACCUGUAAUCAUGGACCUUAUUGUCUUGUAGACCAUUUGGUGUUUCGAGUGUUUUGGAGCUUGCACUUUGUGCAUGUAGAUACCAACUUGUGUGUUUUGGACCAUCUGAAGUCUCUCAUAGUAACCAAUAGUCCUUAUCUCUUUGUGACUUGUGUGUUCUAGAUGAUUGUUAAGAUGGUAAAAACUAUGCUUCCUCUAGGUUAAUUUGUUUGUCAA